CAUCUGUAUGAGCUUAUUAACUGCCAUCAAACUAUAAGUGAGGACAAGAUUGGUCCAUUAAUCUCGUGGUUUUUCAGCUAAACUACAUGUACAUGUAGCUACACGUAUUUCAAGAUUUGCAAUUUUGUCCUAUCACAGUUUGGCAACAAAACAAUAGGAAUUAGAUUGGGACUAUCUGAAUGACAUGAUUGCAGACAAUUAAGUCAUCAAAAUUGAACUGCACAUACACCUGUGGAUACUACUAUAUUGCCAGUGGUCAUUGUAU